GAAGAAGAACGUAGCGAAAUGCGAUAAGUAAUGCGAAUUGCAGAAUUCAGUGAGUCAUCGAAUCUUUGAACGCACAUUGCGCCCUGUGGUAUUCCGCAGGGCAUGCCUGUUCGAGCGUCAUUUCAACCCUCAAGCUCUGCUUGGUGUUGGGCCCUGCCCGCUGCGGCCGGCCCUAAAGACAGUGGCGGUGCCGCCUGGCCCUGAGCGUAGUACAUCUCUCGCUCCAGUGCCCGGUGGUAGCCUGCCAGAACCCCAACUCUCGUGGUUGACCUCGGAUCAGGUAGGGAUACCCGCUGAACUUAAGCAUAUCAAUAAGCGGAGGA
rnacentral:misc_RNA from 1 species